rnacentral:sRNA from 1 species
GUAAUGAGGGCCACUGCAGGAAAGGGAACAUAAAAUGAGUCCCCAAGUUCUUGACCCUUCUCUUUCCCGUGCUCUCCAGUCAGUUUGAGACUUACACUUGGGGUAGAAUCCAGAUUUUCCACCCUGGUCCCCUCACUCACUCUCUACAGCUUAUAAAGUGCUUUUCUUGGCCCUGGAAAACAUUCUGCUUCCUUUAGUAAAUGUGUGCAGAAUAUUUCAUGAAGUCACAUUAUUUUCCUCUUUGGCCGACUUUCCGUCUUGGAUCACAGUCAGGGAGAAGGUCAGCUGAGGUGAGGCAACUUUUCAGUGUGACCUUAGAUGUGGAUGAAAGUGAUAGCCCCGAGCAGCACAAUUGUUAACUUACUGGCAUUUGGGUCCCAUUAGGGACAUAAGCAAAUAAUGAAAGUUUUCUGCAAAAGGAUUAUGCUGUCACCAUUCACAGCAGUAGGAACAGAGUGUUUAGGGAAAGACCUGUGCCCAGCCUAGGAUGGCAAGCUAUCCACCUCCAACUCCACACAUCUGUACCAAUGUGAACUGUGAAAGAUUUCAGGCCUGGGACUAAUGUUAAGUGUUCCCUUAACUCUUCAUCUCCACAUCAUUGGAGGGGGGUAGUGGUAGAAGGGCCACCCCACCACCACCACAACACACAAAGCUUCUACCCGCUUAGCAUCACCCCGGACCCUCCUUCUCCCGGUCCUGGUUUCUGUUUCGUGGUAUUCAUCCUCCUCUGGCCUCUUCAUAGCAUCCUCCAGCUGCCACUCUGGCUGCUUCUCACCCUACGCCAGGGGUCGGGAGCCAUGAAAGUCCGUGAGUGACGCCAGCCAGGUGGGAGGCGAUAGGGAGUGGUGGGGCAUGCGGCUGACUGGGCAUCUGGUGCCCCAUGAAAAGCAGCAGCCCCUGCCCAACUCCAGGCCGUUUCUAUGAAAGGAGUGCAGGCCCAGUGUUCCCGAGUAUCUCAUUUUCCACGAUAAGUUGGAAAACCUGACUUUUCAUGUGAUAUGACAUUUCCUAGUGUUUAAAUGUUUGAGAAGUAAUUAAAAUUAUUUCAAAACACACUAUGUAGACCGAAUAAAAUGUGUCUGAGACCUAGGGCUGGUCUCAGUUCUAGUCUGUCUCUGUCCCUUUCCACAAUCUAACCUGCCCUCCCAGCUUCAGUGGUUACUCAAAUUUCAAUGUCUCUGAGCGUUAGAUGGCCAGCCCUGGCCUGCACCCCAGAUUUACCCUAGAAUUCAUCUGCAUGUGGGUGCCCACACACCUCCAAUGCAAAGCGGAGCCCAUCAACCUCCCAGAUUUGGCAGACUGUAGGAUCUCAUUCAUGACCAAGAACCCCACCAUGCGUUUGGGCAGCCUGACUCAGGGAGGCGAGCACGCCAUCUUGAGACAUCCUUUUUUUAAGGAAAUCGACUGGGCCCAGCUGAACCAUCGCCAACUAGAACCACCUUUCAGACCCAGAAUCAAAUCCCGAGAAGAUGUCAGUAAUUUUGACCCUGACUUCAUAAAGGAAGAGCCAGUUUUAACUCCAAUUGAUGAGGGACAUCUUCCAAUGAUUAACCAGGAUGAGUUUAGAAACUUUUCCUAUGUGUCUCCAGAAUUGCAACCAUAGCCUUAUGGGGAGUGAGAGAGAGGGCAUGAGGACCCGAAGGGAAUAGAGAUUUUCCAGGAAUUUCCUCUGUGGGACCUUCCCAGCAUCAGCCUUAGAACAAGAACCUUAACUUCAAGGAGCUAAGUGAAGAACUCUGUGAAGGAUGGAACUUUAAGAUAUCAACUAUUUCGAGUCCAGAGAGAGCCACGGCACUAGAAAUAGUUGAUAAUGAAAUGAGAUUUUAUGAAGUAUGCUGCUCCACCUAUGAGCGUCUGUCGCUGUGGGCUUGGGAUGUUAACAGGAGCCAAAAGGAGGGAAAGUGUGAAGAAUAAAGUAGAUCUGAGAAAUUCUGAGCCAAUCAGGCUUCUUAAUUCAAGAGACAAACCAAGACUUUGUGUCAACUGUGCUGUGCUCUUCUUUAAGCCAAUGAACCCCAAUUCCUGGCAGUCUACAAGAAGUCUUUUAAUGCUAAUGAAGAAUUUAAAGGUCUUUUUAAGGAAAUGAAGGGCUUUCCAAAUAGAAUGAUUUACUCUGAAGAAACAAACAAUGGUAUCUCUGAAACUCACAACCUAAAGCCCAAUCUUGAAAAUACGUUGUGCACCAAGACAACUGCUUCAGCUUCUUCUCUUAUCCUUACUUUCUUUAAUAGAUAUUUAUUAAAGUGUCCAGUGAAAAGGUGCCACAAUACCCAGUAUUGUAAACAACAGGUUUGCAUUCAUGAAGCUUUCAUUCAUUCUGGAGUCUACUAAUUUACCUGAAUGGUGUUUGCAUUCUGUGAAAUGCCUCUCCACGUUGCAUAUGUCACACCUUUGUCUGCACAUAACUCUUUUUUUCACAAGAAGGGUCACUGCCACAACAGCACAGUCAGCGGGCGAAUUACAGGUGCCUGCUGCCUGCCUACCUGGGGAAUCUCGUCUAUAUCGCCGUGUGCUCGUCACUGAAGAAUUGCAGGCCACUCAUGUCAGUGACCAGAUUUGUGGCUUAUAAACAUUAGCAGUUUAUUUAUGUUUUAAGAUGCAAAGAUGUGUGUUUGAUAUUCACUUUAAUAAUUAGAAAUGGAUCUUGUAAACAGGGCAUAUAUCAAAGAUGACCUUAUAAUAUGUACCCGAAUAUACAGUUCAAGAAUUUUGUCUGACUGGAAAUAAAUGCAUUUUGUAGC